ensembl:lncRNA
UUAAUGAUUUCCUUCUCUGUACUCACAGUCAUUAGGGAAUAAUCAGUUUAUGAGGGGCAAAGCAAGGCCUUCAAGGUGUUGGCAGUGAAAACCCUCAGAAAACCACAAGGUUUUGCAAGAGUUGCUCUACAGUCACCAGAAUUGGCAGCACUACCGUCGUGGGGACAGGAGCUGGCAUCGCCACCUUCCCAUCCACAGCCCCAGCCAGGCAGUCUGCAGCCCCAAAGGAGAAGGCUGUUCUUUCCGUGCUGCCUUCCCACGCCGCAGAUGCGGGAGCUCCAACCCUGCUCGCUGUUUGAGCCGUGUGCGACAGGGACGCUGCUGGGGAGGGAGCCAGAGGCAGGGCAGAGCCCGGAUUGGCAGCACCGAGGCUGAAUGCAGAUGCCCUUCUUUUCCUGCUUCCCUGCUACAUCACCAGAGACAGCACGAACUGCUUAAAAGGAAGCGAGCACCAUUUUUAUGUGGUGUAAAUAUCCAUCUACACAUUUUCCACAAAGGAUGGAGAUGCUGGGAUGGCUACAUGAUUUAUGCACAGGAUGGAAGUAGCACAAACACGAUGAUUUACAACAGGUUUUAAUGACCAUCUGAAGGGGAAAGAUACCAAAUAUGGUCAACAGCAACUGUUAAUUGAAACAAGUCAUAUUUCAUCUGUGUAAACAAAGUGAUGAUCACGUCUGCCACAAGAUUUCAAGAGAUUUAUCUUCCAGGCUCCCUAAUAUGGUUACAUCUGUCCCCUCCUUAAAUCCUAUGUUCUUGCCAUCUGCUCCUAUGCACUUCUUUUCACCCUAAAGCAGUGACUAAACAACUGUCUGAAAAAGAAAAAAAAAAGUAUUUUUCAAUUUUUGAGCAAAAUGUUCAACAACUGGAAAAAAACUGGAAAACCAAAUCUACAACCCCUUUGGCUCUCAAUUGUUUUCUAUGGUUGGGAAUGUUACUAGUGAGAUGCUCAGGUGAAGUUUCCAGAAUCUUUACAUCUCACUAUACUACAGGAAACACUGCACCCAUAGAUUAAGAUAGUUUUGUUAUGGAGUGUACUAAAUUUGGGGCAGAUUUAACUACCAUUCAGUUAAUCAGUCAAAUUGUCACUGAGAGGUAAUGUUAUAUGGGGAGGAAGCAUUUUGCUUUAAAAAGAAAGAAACUUCCUAGAAUUCUUUAUUUGCGCUGUGGGAAGCCUUGGUAGUUGUGUUCCUUUGAGAUGUGCUUUGUACUUACCUCUCCUUGUCCAAACAGGGAGCAGCAGGAAGGACAGAGCUGCAGCUCACUCUCCUUUCUGUGUGAGGAGCACCAAAGAAGAGCAAUUCCACAAAUCUGUGCUCCUGCCUUCUGGGCAAGACUGCAGCCUGCUGGUCCUCAUUCAUUAGGGCAGCACUCUGCUCUGCAUCCAUCACCCUCUGUGGCCACAGAAUGGGCAUAAUCCAUCUCUUGCUGUUUAUUUGAAAUCCUUCAAAGGUAUUAGACAUGCACUGAGCAUCUUUUUACCACAGAGACUUCAUGCAAUGACAAUACUGUCAUGCUAAAAAAAUGCCUCAUCCCUUCUCUAAGAGUUUUGUUAAACUUCCUUUUAUUUGCUUGGGCUG